UACAGAGGUCUCAAGCGUCUGUCGGAUUCAUUGGGCGUAAAGGGUGCGUAGGUGGUUUGUUAAGUCUGCUGUGAAAUCCCCGGGCUCAACCUGGGAAUGGCAGUGGAUACUGGCAAGCUAGAGUGCGGUAGAGGGUAGUGGAAUUCCCGGUGUAGCAGUGAAAUGCGUAGAGAUCGGGAGGAACACCAGUGGCGAAGGCAGCCCCCUGGGAUAACACUGACGCUCAUGCACGAAAGCGUGGGGAGCAAACAGG
rnacentral:rRNA from 1 species